rnacentral:tRNA from 1 species
GAGGGUACAGCUCAGUAGUAGAGCACUUGCUUAGCAUGCACGAGGUCCCAGGUUCAAUCCCCAGUACCUCCA